rnacentral:rRNA from 1 species
UACGUAGGGUGCAAGCGUUAUCCGGAAUUAUUGGGCGUAAAGAGCUCGUAGGCGGUUUGUCGCGUCUGCUGUGAAAACUGGAGGCUCAACCUCCAGCCUGCAGUGGGUACGGGCAGACUAGAGUGCGGUAGGGGAGAUUGGAAUUCCUGGUGUAGCGGUGGAAUGCGCAGAUAUCAGGAGGAACACCGAUGGCGAAGGCAGGUCACUGGGCCGCAACUGACGCUGAGGAGCGAAAGCGUGGGGAGCGAACAGG